AGUGAACGCUGGCGGUAGGCCUAACACAUGCAAGUCGAACGGCAGCACGGUAAGAGCUUGCUCUUACGGGUGGCGAGUGGCGGACGGGUGAGGAAUACAUCGGAAUCUACUUUUUCGUGGGGGAUAACGUAGGGAAACUUACGCUAAUACCGCAUACGACCUACGGGUGAAAGCAGGGGAUCUUCGGACCUUGCGCGAUUGAAUGAGCCGAUGUCGGAUUAGCUAGUUGGCGGGGUAAAGGCCCACCAAGGCGACGAUCCGUAGCUGGUCUGAGAGGGUGAUCAGCCACACUGGAACGGGGACACGGUCCAGACUCCUACGGGAGGCAGCAGUGGGGAAUAUUGGACAAUGGGCGCAAGCCUGAUCCAGCCAUGCCGCGUGGGUGAAGAAGGCCUUCGGGUUGUAAAGCCCUUUUGUUGGGAAAGAAAAGCAGCAGGUUAAUACCCCGCUGUUCUGACGGUACCCAAAGAAUAAGCACCGGCUAACUUCGUG
rnacentral:rRNA from 1 species